UGUUAUGUCAUAUGUGGAAUACUGCUUCCUCUUCUUCUCUCAAUUCCAUGCUCCUCUCUCCAUCCUCGUUUCCACAUUACAACAGGAAGUUAGGUUGUUGAUUUGUUAAGAAUGAGAGGUAAAAGAAGGAGAAAAUAAAGAGCAAAUAAAAAAUGCAUAAUUAUACUUUUUCCAAUUAAUUGUUUGUGUAUAGGAGGUCAAAUUAGAAAUAGGUGAAAACCAAAGGUUUAGACAUUAGUUCUUUUUAAUAACCUAAUAAUGCCUAUGUCCAACAUAUUAAGAUAUGUGUUCAAUUUGGUCGUAUUUCAAAGUUCUGUUAUCCCAUUAUUUUAAAAAUCAAUGUUAAGACUUUCUUUUUUCUUCUUAUCUCUUAUGUACGUAUAUUAAAUUACCUAACUCAAUAUUGACUUUGAUUAUAUUCUUUUCACAUCAUCAUCAUACACCACCAAUAAUCGCCCUUCAUAAAUCACCCUUCAUAUGUUUGGACUAUUUCUUUCCGAGUAGGUAUGCUAACUAUUGUAAUUUCUUAGACUUAUUUGCCUACAUUUUGUUCAUUUCUCAAACAAAUUAAAAUUAUAUAUAUAUACUUACUUUGGGGAUUGUGUGGUUGCACAUUCACUUUUUCUUCCUCCUUACUAUGUUUCAAAAUCUAAAAACUUUAUUCUUACUAAGAAUGCGCUCAAUUUUAAUUCUUAAAAACAUAACACCUUAGUGAGUUCGAAUUAAAUAGAGGACUGGAAAUGAUGAUGAUCAAACUAAUUUAAAAUAAUGUGACUAUUUUAGGUAUGUGAUAGGACAAAAAGUUCUAUUUUAUAAAAGAUAAAUGAAAAUAGGAAGAAGCCAGAAUAGUAGAGAAGCUAAUGUGAGAGUUAAUCACACAAUCGAAUGAAAGUAAAGAAUAAGUUCAAAAGAAUAAAUUGUUAAAAAUAAAAACGGUUUAUUCAUCAUCUAAGUAUUAUUUUUUUAUGUCAUCAAUGAUUUUGUUAUGAAUAAAAUGGAGCAAACUAAUAGGAACAAAGUGUUAGAUUUUGAGCUAGGAACCAAAAUGAUAUUUUUCUCUUAGUUUUUUUAAUAAUGUCACAUAAUCUUUGCUAUAGGUUAUAGAUUAAAAAUAGUUUUAGUCCCUAAUUUUUCAUAAUAUGUAAUACAUAUAUAUAUUGCUAUCGAAUUUUAAACAAACAUAAAAUAUCACCUCCUACGAUUUCUCUCAUCAAAACAUAAAAUAUUAUUAUUCAACUUACAAUAUUAAAAAAUCAAUAUGACAUGGAUUUUUCUAACACAUCAUAGAUGAAUGGUGACUGAUUAAUCAAUAAAUCACUACAAGAAAAACCCUCUACUAUGACAUUUAUUUAUAUCACAAAAUAGAGGGAGGAAAAAAAAAUGUCACGAAAAGGAAAAAAACGCGUUUUUGGCGAAAAAAGACGGAAAUUUUCGAAAAAUAUUUUUCACGACAGUUAUUUGAUGUCAUAAAAUAGAAAUAAAAUAAUAUAUUUAAUAUAUGAAAAAUAAUAACUGUUUUAGGGAUUUUUAACCUAUUCCCUUCUCCCAUUUCUUUCGUCUUUCUCUCAUUUUGCCUCUCCUUUCAGCUUUCUCCCCUUUCGCCUCCCCUUUCACCUUUCUCCCCUUUCGCCUCCCAAUCUCCGAACUCCUUGAACUCUCUUCUCCAGAUGACAACGAGGUCCAUCAUCGGCACUGCCCCCUCGUGGCCAUCUCCCCACUCCAACGCCGCCUGUACCUCUUCUACUACACAACGAACGGGCUACGACCACUCUUUGGAGUCUACCAUUGAAGCCUCCAAAUCUCGCCUUUCUCAGAUUCGUUCCACCUCUUAUCCUCAUUUCCAAAAGGCAAUUGUAAUUUCUUCAUCCCUUAUUAUUACUAUUGUUUUUUUUUACCUCUCCUGUUGUUCUUUGUUUAGUUUCCAAUUAAGGAUGAAUGUUAGUUUAGGUCUCUAAGAGAAAGGGUUGAAAGGUUUUGAGUCGUUACUCUCUGUACUUUUAUUUGAGUAAGUCAUCCUAAAAAAGAUACUUUUAUAGCAUUUGAAUAAAGCUUUAGGCUAUUUGCUAGAUUGCAAAGUGGUUUCUGGAUACAAAAUCCCAUGGUCGAAAUUUAAGAAGAAUCGAGUUCUUGCUCC